GACGAACGCUGGCGGCGUGCCUAAUACAUGCAAGUAGAACGCAGUUGCGAACGGGUGAGUAACGCGUAGGUAACUGCCUGGUAGCGGGGGAUAACUAUUGGAAACGAUAGCUAAUACCGAAUCCUACCAGAUGGACCUGCGUUGUAUUAGCUAGUUGGUGGGGUAACGGCUCACCAAGGCAACGAUACAUAGCCGACCUUGGAGGGUGAGCGGCCAACCUUGGACUGAGACACUGCCCAGACUCCUACGGGAGGCCGCAGUAGGGGAUCUUCGGAAAUGGGGGGAACCCUGACCAGGCCACGCCGCGUGAGUGAAGAAGGUUUUCGGAUCGUAAAGCUCUGUUUUUAAGGAAGCGGUACUUAACCAGAAAGGGCCGGCUAACUACGUGCCAGCAGCCGCGGUAAUUC
rnacentral:rRNA from 1 species